rnacentral:rRNA from 1 species
UACGUAGGGUGCAAGCGUUAAUCGGAAUUACUGGGCGUAAAGCGUGCGCAGGCGGUUUUGUAGACAGCGUGAAUACCCGGCGUCAACCUGGGAAUGGCGCUUGUGACUGCAAAGCUGGAGUGCGGCAGAGGGGGGAUGGAAUUCCGCGUGUAGCAGUGAAAUGCGUAGAUAUGCGGAGGAACACCAAUGGCGAAGGCACGCCCCCGUGGGCCGAUACUGACGCUCAUGCACG